CAGUAAGUAUUUUAAUUUAAAAUAUUAAUUUUGGAGAUUAAAGAUAAGUUUAGGCUUUUUACUGA
rnacentral:tRNA from 1 species